GGAGAGCAUUGCUACUUUACAGCUUUUAUCCCAGAUUUAGUUCCUGGUUGGAUUGCCCUGGUGUACUCUUUGCAUGUUCUCCUUGUGUUUUCCUGAUUUUUUUUUUUUUCCCCUGUAAACUUGAUUGAGGUUCCUAACAUGGCCUGCAUUUGUGCUGGAGUCCUAUUUAGGGCUUGAGUUGCUUUCUGCUAGCACCGACUUCGUAUCUUUGUGUAGGUUGAGAUAAUUUAUGAGUCUAAAUUUGUGUCCAGUAUGAGAGACUGUGUAUUUUAAGGGGGCUUCUGUCCAGUUCACGGCUGUUUCCUACUUUCCAUCCAGUGCUUUGUAGGCUACGAGCGAAUGCAACACUGCAGGUCUGAGAUUGCCCAGAAUGUGUCUGUGUAUGAAUGUGCUGCUGCCAGCUGCAUGUGUGACCCUGGUACAAGCCACCUUCCCUGCAUGUGUGAUUCGGCUGUAGCUAUGGGCUCGAGUUGUUAAUGAGCCUGAAAUUCCCUGGCUUGUGUCCCAGUUCAGAUGCUCACUAUCCAGUGUAAACUUGAGCGAGGCUACUUGGCUGCCUCUGGCUCUUAUCUGUGGAUGAGACCUGGAAGGCAAAGAGCUGCCUGAGUAACACUUGAAUGGUUCAUCAGGUAAGUGUCAGUCUAAGCAGCAGAUAUGAAAGGCUAUGUUUUAAAAAAAAAAAAAACAAACACAAAAACGUAAAAAUAAUUGGGGAAAAUUAGUUUUACACCCUUGGCAAUGAAGAUUGUUUAAAGGGCUUUUGAUAUUAUACUUGGGGGAACGUUAUAAAUUCUGACAAAUAAAAGCCUCAAGUAUGUUGUCCAGCACACAAAAAUAAGCAACCUGUUUUCUAGCAAAGUGGGAUUAACAAAA